GCUUUCAUGUUAAACUGGAGAGAGAAUGAGUAUCUUACUCUGCAAGUUCCUGCAUUUUUAUUUCAGAAUAAUCCGUAUGUAAAGGUCAGAAGAGGGCAUCGGAUCCCCUCCACGUGAGUUGCAGAAGGUUGUGAGCCACUGUGUGGGUACUGUGACUUCACCGUGGAACCUCUGGCAGAGCAGCCAGUGCUCCGAAGGCUGAACCAUCUCUCCAGCCCCACACUGGAGAGUUUCAGUCUGGCCCACCAGGCCUUUUAAGCUUGGACAGCUCUUAGCAGCCACCUGCAAAGAGCUUCCAGGUCCUAAAGAGAGUAGACGGACUGCUAAAGACCUUUGGGAAGUUGUUGUUCAGAUCUGCAGCGUGUCUAACCAGCACAAACGAGGAAAUGAUGGCAGAGUCAGUCUCAUAAAGCAGAGGGAGUCCACGCUGGGCAUAAUGUAUCGGAGUGAACUACUUUCUUUUAUCAAAAAAUUACGGGAACCACUGGUUUUGACUAUUAUUUUAUCACUCUUUGUGAAGCUUCACAAUGUUCGGGAGGACAUUGUGAAUGACAUCACAGCUGAGCACAUUUCCAUCUGGCCGUCUUCCAUUCCUAACCUGCAGUCUGUGGAUUUUGAAGCUGUGGCAAUCACUGUGAGAGAGGUCGUUCGAUACGCACUCAGUGUCAACCCAAACAGCCACGCGUGGCUGAU
rnacentral:lncRNA from 1 species